CAGAGAGGGGUGUGCUUUCGGAUGAAGCGGUCAGGAAACCCCCAUCUGGAGAGGCGGCACCGCGGCCAGGAUGGACUCGAGUGAGAGCGUGCGCACGGUGGGAAAACUGAGUCAAGAAAACUGAAAAGUCCUAAAGCCGUCUUAUUUGUGACCAGUUUGCAAGCGGCACCCGAAUUCCCUGAGACCCAGUCUUUGCUGCCAGUUUGGGUCUGUGAGUCUCCACUGUAGAAAACAGAUCUCUCCAGUGAGUUAGAAACUCAGGAAGGUCUGUUCUCUCUGUCUGCGUCUCCACUGCUGCCCUGCAAAUGGGUUUAAGAGAGUAUCUUUGAUCACCCAGAGGGUCCAGUAUAAUCACAGGGUCUCUGUAAGUGAAUGAUGGAGGCGGGAGGCUUAGCAUCAGAGGAGCUGUGACGAUGGAGGCGGAGGCUGAAGAGAUGCUCUUUGAAGAUGCAGGAAGGGACCGUGAAUCAAGAAAGGCACAUAGCCUCCAGAAGCUGGAAAAGCCAAGGAAGUGGGUUCUCCCCUAGAACCUCCAGAGGGGAUGUCUGACCUCUAGAACUGGAAAAUAAUAAAU